UUUAGGAGACUGGAGCCCAGGAGUCUUGGGGACCACAGUCCGCACUCUGCCCUCCCAGAAGACACAGACGUGGCCUGUAGCGGCCGGGUGGGAGACCUGGCAUUUCCCCCAACAGACCCUGACACCCUUUGGCACAGACCUGUGGUUCUCAAAGCCCAGUUCCCAGACCUGCAGCAUCAGGUUUUAUUUCCUGCCAGACCUUCCAGACCAGAACAUCAGCUUCACCACCCCCAGACCCUCUGAGCCAGGGUCCCCACAGGGAGUGAGAAUUGGUCCUGCCCUCGAGGACUUGCAGACCUGCUGGGGACAGAUACACGAAGCAGGAAAUGACAAAGUAACGUGGAAGCAGAGGGGCGAAGCUGGACUCAGGUGUUGCCGGCACACAGAGAAGGACCAGCCAGGUGACGGGUCCCGUGUGGACAUCCGGCCAGCCUGGAGU